rnacentral:rRNA from 1 species
UACGUAGGGGGCUAGCGUUGUCCGGAUUUAUUGGGCGUAAAGAGCGUGUAGGCGGCCAUGUAGGUCCGGUGUGAAAACUCGAGGCUUAACCUCGAGAUGUCAUCGGAAACCAUUUGGCUAGAGUCCGGAAGAGGAGAGUGGAAUUCCUGGUGUAGCGGUGAAAUGCGCAGAUAUCAGGAGGAACACCGGUGGCGAAGGCGGCUCUCUGGACCACUACUGACGCUGAGGCGCGAAAGCUAGGGGAGCAAACAGG